GUUGUAAACUUUAUUUGUUAAUAACUAAUUAAAUUGCUGCAAAACCCAUUGUUUUUUUAGUUUUACGCACGGUUUAAUAGGUUGUGUGACUGAUAAACCAGCCAUGUCUUACCGAUCGCGAGUUUAUAUUGGCAGAUUGAGCCACAGAGCGCGGGAAAACGACGUUGAGCACUUUUUCAGAGGUUACGGGAAAAUUAACGAUCUUAUGCUAAAGAAUGGCUUCGGGUUCGUUAUUUUCGACGAUGAGCGAGACGCCGACGAUGCAAUUCAUGACCUAAACGGCAAAAGCUUAUGCGGUGAACGUGUUAUGUUGGAAAUCGCUAAAGGUACACCUCGUGGGCCAGGAGGCGAGUUUGUAUCUAACUAUACAGCUCCACCGGAUAGUAGAAGAGAGAGUUCUUCACGAAGAUCGUCAUCUUCAUCUUAUUAUCAACAACAACAACCGCGUAGUUCAACCAAAGGAAUCCCAAACCAUGGUUAUCGCUUAAUUGUGGAAAAUUUAUCAUCACGAGUCACAUGGCAAGAUUUGAAAGAUUACAUGCGCCAGUGUGGGGAGGUUGUGUAUGCUGAUGCUAACAGGUAUCGCAGAAAUGAAGGCGUGGUUGAGUUUUCUUCAAGGAAAGAGAUGAAGUACGCAAUUGAGAAGCUCAAUGGAACGGAAAUAAAUGGCCGACAUAUCAAGCUCACUCCGAAUAUUAAAAGUCCCUCAAGAUCUCGCUCAAGAAGUGGAAGCAGAGGAAGAAAAAGUGGAAGAUACAGUCGCUCUCGAUCCAGAUCAGGAAGCAGAGAUAAAUCUAAGAGGUCGUCUUCACGUAGCCGAUCCAGAUCGCCCAAAAAGGCCGGAAAACGCUCAGCUUCGAAGGAUAACCAUAACGGAGUCGAUAAAAGGAAGCAUUCACCUCAUUCUGAUGGAAGCUACAGAAGCCGCAGCAGAACUGGAUCUCCAGAUGGAAGAAAAUCAGCUUCUAGAUCGCCAUAGUUUGAACACAGUUGGAAAUCAUGGACCACAUUUUCCCUGCCUAAGAUGAUGCACAAAACACAGAAAAAUUGGCCAAGCCAAGGGACAAUCUCAAUCUUAUUUUACAUUUUGGCAAUUCAAUUCAAUUUUAGUUGGUUCAAUUCAAAUUUAUUUGGCAAGCAAUACAACAUGGUCUUAUAGCUGGCAAUGCAAUUCAAAUCAAUUGUAGGGCACACAAGGUACAGCAGCCAAAACAACAAAACGUGACCCUUUACAUUUUGGAUCAUAGUCAAUAGCGUGGGGUUCAAUUCAAUCUCCCGAGCAACUGAUUUAACUUUAAUAUCAAUAAUUUCAUUUAAGCAGGUAGGAGUUAUGUCUUCUUGAUGUUAGGUAUAUUUUCUCACGAACGCAGCAUGAAGAAGGGAAGUCUUAUUUCUGUUACAUUCCUAUAUUGUAAAGUAAAAUUUCCUAAAAAGAUGAGACCUAAUUGAAAAACUGUGUAAAUAAAAGCUUUGACUAAGAUAUCUUGUUGAUAUGUAUUUGAACUGUGGUGUAUUACACUCUUGUUGUGAUUAUCGUAAAUAUUCAAUGCUUGAGCUGAAUUUUAGUUUCUUUUCACUUACAUAUUAAAGAGCUUUGGUUGUGGGUGUUCUUGUUUUUACAUUGGUUAAUAAUUUUCACCCACAAAUUAAUUCAGUUUCAAGAAACGUGCCUUGCUCUAACAAUUGUCACACCCAGGCACCGAACCCUAUAAAAAUCAGGGGUGACAGCAGUUGUCAGUCACAAAAUCGAAUAAAAACAAUUUUCAUCUAAUGCUAUUUCCAACUGCCUAAUGUGAUGUAAUUGUGGGGCAUCAUUCAUUGCCUGCCACCCCAGGUUUGGUGCCUGUGCUGUCAACUAUUGAUGUCAUUAAGUUAAAAUUGUACAAUUCUGAAUUAGUCUCACUUGUGUAUUGCGUUGUUGAUAUAUAAUUGUGUAUAACCCAAUCUUCAUUUAGCGCAG